rnacentral:rRNA from 1 species
GAUGAACGCUGGCGGCGUGCCUAAUACAUGCCAGUCGAGCGAACAGAUGAGGAGCUUGUUCCUCUGACGUUUGCGGCGGACGGGUGUGUAACAUGUGGAUAACCUACCUAUAAGACUGGGAUAACUUCGGGAAACCGGAGCUUAUACCGGAUAAUAUAUUGAACCGCAUGGUUCAAUAGUGAAAGACGGUUUUGCUGUCACUUAUAGAUGGAUCUGCGCCGCAUUAGCUAGUUGGGAAGGUAACGGCUUACCACGGCGACGAUGCGUAGCCGACCUGAGAGGGUGAUCGGCCACACUGGAGCUGAGACACGGUCCAGACUCCUACGGUAGGCAGCAGUAGGGAAUCUGCCGCAAUAGGCGGAAGCCUGACAGAGCAGCGCCGAGUGAGUGAUGAAGGUCUUCGGAUCGUAAAACUCUGUUAUUAGGGAAAAACAAAUGUGUAAGUAACUAUACACGUCUUGACGGUACCUAAUCAGAAAGCCACGGCUAACUACGUG